GACUACAACACGUAGAAACACUGAUUCCUGUACGAUCACCGAAGUUAAGCAAGGUCGAGUCUUUUCAGUACCUUGGUGGAUAACCGCUUCGGAAUACCAGGUGUUGUAA